UAAAGAAGAAGCUGCUUCAUGACCAUCUGAGGUGUACGUGUCUUUAUGUCCUGCUGGACGGCAACAUUUGGUGGCCCAUAUGGGGAAUGGUGAGCACUCAGCAUGCAGCAUGUCCAAGUUUGUUAUUAUGCCCAGUGAAAAUGUGUUCAUCAUGCCAACAGUCAGGCUCUUGUUUCAUCCAUUGGCUUGUGGUCUGCAACUUUCAGGGGCUGGUAAUAGAACUCUUGUCAAUUUCCCAGAGGGCCUUGUGCCACAGAGGCACUAGUCUGGUCAAAGGAAUGAGCCCUUGGAUGUACACAGAUUGACCUGAUAUUUCUGCAUCUGAAGAUGAGUCGAAGGGCCUCUGGAAAUAUUACAGCAGGAAAAUUUCUGAGUGCAGCCCAUUGUAAGGCAGCAGCCAAGGUGUUUGGCCCUGGCAGGUGGAGUGAGCACAGAACUACUCUCCUUGCUUGACAGCUCCUUCCAGUCCUCCAAUCAACAUGCUGUGUGAAUGCCUUCCUCAUGACUCUCCACAUGAGCCACCCCAGCAGCCACCAACCUCCACUUGGAAGGUCCAACUCCUCAGGUUUCAGCUGUCUUGCAUUAUGGCUUUCUGGGAAAGGAGGGGCAACCGACCAGACUGGGUUUGAUGUUUCCCAAUUCAAGGAGCACCUGAACCAGGGAACUGCACUGCACUCUCCCCAGCCCUGAACUGUCAGUAGCCAUCAUGAUGUGUGGCUGCUAGGGUCCUAGGCUAGUUACCUGAUUUGGUAAAAUCAUGGGUGUGACCAGACCUGGAGGAGCGGUUUCAGAGGGCAAUGCCAGCUGGGGAUUGUGAGCUGGUGAUUGUUUUGAAUCUCGGUCUGAAGUGGCCAGGACCAGAAGCAUCUCUGGUUGCCAUGGGAACUGUGACACCAUCUUGCUGUUGUGCCACCCCUCUGUGACUCAGAUGCUGUCUGCAGUGUAGGCACGAGGUCACAGAAGUGAAUCCUCAUCCAGGUGGUCCAAGGUCCAGAGAAAGCCUCUGGGGAUAGAGAAAGUGCAUUUCUCCUAAUGGAGAUUGAAACCUCCAUGCCCUUUACACCUGCCAUGCCUGAAGACCGCCCCUUCCACUUUGAAUAGAGUCUCUCUCCCAUCUUUUGCUCUCAUGGCACAGGAGCACUGGAAACAAAGUGAGACUAUUCUCAGAGUGCAACAACAUGCAAUAGAAUGAUUGAGAGAUCAGGGAACAUUCCUGGGAACCUGGUGGGCAUUGUAGCCCCUGCCCUGAUUCAAAACACUGUGUAUUUGCUGAUCAUUUGGUUCAAAACCAGACCUCUUCCCUCACCACAGUCAUCAUUGUCUUCCCCAAGGUUGGUUUGCUGGGGUGGCAGUCAGUGUUCGUUGGGACUACCAGUUCUCAGCAUGUUCUUCUUCCAGAGGUGCCAGGUACCAGAAAGAAGCAAGAAUAUGGCACAGUUCAGAAUGACAUCCACUACCUCAUGGCUGUGUCAGGGCUGGGAUAUGACAGUGCUGACCUUCCUGCAGAGAUUCUGCUGAAAGAAGAGAUACUGCUGGCAUGUGGUUGUGCUGAUUCCUCCAGGGGAGUCAAAGGAUUGGAUGUACCACAAAUGCCUCAGAGGGGCUGGUGU